UCCCUAUAUAGACGGAGCAGGGUAAAUCCUCCCAGAGAAGAGCCAUAGGGGAGCAUGUGCAUAUGCAUAGUUAUAUGUUGCAUUUGAAUUGGUGGUAGUAACAAGUACUAAAACUUGGGGCUGGGGGAAAAUCCCCUGAAAGUGUUAUCUUUAGAAAGUUGUUACUGGCAAUAUUCAGAAUGAUCUCACUGGGGCUGUCUGCCCCCACUUGUGUGCAUCCUAAGGCUGAGCAACCAAUCAGAGCUGCUGCAGGCAGAGAUCUCUACCCCUCCCACAGCCCUCAGCAAACUAUUCUCACAGGUGGGGAGGAGGAGUGAAAGAACCCAGUAGCUCAGGGUGGCUCUACUCUCCCCUGCCACCUGUAAGCAAUUGGGUGGGGCAGGGGUUCCUCUAAUCCUCCCUGCAGCACCUGCCUGGGAAGAGCCCCUGGAGCUGCCUCCAGCCAGUCAGAAAGGGGCAGUGGGGAUCCUGCUUCGGGCAGUGGGAGUGAAGAGCCCCAGAAGGAGCACUGAGCUGUCCCUUUAAAAAAUGGCAGAGACAAGCAGCUGCAGCCCGAAAGUGACCAUUUUGUAACUGGUUGCUGUGUGCUGACAUUCUCUCUUCCAGCUGCAGUAAAAGGUAGUCCUAAUGAAACACACAGAGAAGGAACCUUCUGAUCUGAGAUCUGAUUGAUGGGUUGACCAUACUCCACUGGGUUCAGAGGAGCUGAAAAUCAGUUUUGGUGCUCAAACUGCUCCCCUGUAUAAGUGCUACGACUGCAUCCAGAGUACUAUUUCUGUGUCCAGACCAAAUGAUUCCUCUGUUAUGAGAAGGCAUAUUUGUGGUACAGGCCAAACAGGAAAACUUGCAUGAAAGUUGGAUGAAGCCUUUCCACAUUAAGAGAAGAACAAAUCGUUUAAACCGGGCUCUGUUUCUUCAAGCAACAUUGCUGCAUCCAAAGGCAAUCUGAGUCAUGGAAAAUGUGUGAAAUAUUUUCGGGGGGCGGGGGGGGGUUGUAAUUUUUAGAUGAUCCCUGGCCAUAGUGACUGUGUUGCUGGGAAGCA